rnacentral:rRNA from 2 species
UUGAUCCUGCCGGACCUGACUGCUAUCGGAUUGAUACUAAGCCAUGCGAGUCAUUGUAGCAAUACAAGGCAUACGGCUCAGUAACGCGUAGUCAACCUAACCUAUGGACGGGAAUAACCUCGGGAAACUGAGAAUAAUGCCCGAUAGAACAUUAUGCCUGGAAUGGUUUAUGUUCCAAAUGAUUUAUCGCCGUAGGAUGGGACUGCGGCCUAUCAGUUUGUUGGUGAGGUAAUGGCCCACCAAGACUAUUACAGGUACGGGCUCUGAGAGGAGUAGCCCGGAGAUGGGUACUGAGACACGGACCCAGGCCCUAUGGGGCGCAGCAGGCGAGAAAACUUUGCAAUGUGCGAAAGCACGACAAGGUUAAUCCGAGUGGUUUCUGCUAAAGGAACCUUUUGUCAGUCCUAGAAACACUGAUGAAUAAGGGGUGGGCAAGUUCUGGUGUCAGCCGCCGCGGUAAAACCAGCACCUCAAGUGGUCAGGAUGAUUAUUGGGCCUAAAGCAUCCGUAGCCGGCUCUGUAAGUUUUCGGUUAAAUCUGUACGCUCAACGUACAGGCUGCCGGGAAUACUGCAAAGCUAGGGAGUGGGAGAGGUAGACGGUACUCGGUAGGAAGGGGUAAAAUCCUUUGAUCUAUUGAUGACCACCUGUGGCGAAGGCGGUCUACCAGAACACGUCCGACGGUGAGGGAUGAAAGCUGGGGGAGCAAACCGGAUUAGAUACCCGGGUAGUCCCAGCUGUAAACCAUGCAAACUCAGUGAUGCAUUGGCUUGUGGCCAAUGCAGUGCUGCAGGGAAGCCGUUAAGUUUGCCGCCUGGGAAGUACGUACGCAAGUAUGAAACUUAAAGGAAUUGGCGGGGGAGCACCACAAGGGGUGAAGCCUGCGGUUC